GAUCUCUAUGGAAUUCUGGAAGGAGAGGAAACAGGCUUGAAAGAACAUUUGUAUUGAACUGAUAUCAGCUCUCAGAGGAGGUUAUGAAGAGGGGAAGGUCAGGCUACACAGACCCAACCAUUGCUGAGUGAAAUCCAUGUGACUCCAGAGGAGCUGGGGAAUUCCUCUUCUCAUAGUUUCCUCGGUACAAUGGAAGUUUGUUGUGUGAGACAGCAUCUCUCACAGGGACCUGAAGCUCACCAGUUAGGGGACACUUGCUGACCAGAGAGCACCCCCCAGUUCCUCCUCUCUCCUUUUUGCCCCCCCCCCCAGAAUUGAAAUUUCAAGCGUGCCUCGGUGCCAAGCUUUUUAUAUGGGUGCUGAGGAGUUAAACCCAGGUCCCCAUACUUGUAUAGCAGGCAUGUGACAGACUGAGAUCUCACUGCAACCAAGCAGAAGACAAGCCUCAAGACAGCCAGCGUUAAAGGAAUAAUUAAAAGGAAGCAUUUUAGAAGAUUUUUAAGACUCAAGAAAGACUAAACAGCAAUUAAGUAGCUUGUGAUACAAAUUGCCUUCUGCCAUCUUCUAAUCCCAAUAAAAGAUAAAGACAA
ensembl:lincRNA 4930405L22Rik RIKEN cDNA 4930405L22 gene